rnacentral:rRNA from 1 species
GAUGAACGCUGACAGAAUGCUUAACACAUGCAAGUCUUUGGCGAAUCUGUGCUUGCACAGGCUAGCCAAGGCGGACGGGUGAGUAACGCGUAAAGAACUUGCCCUGCAGACAGGGAUAACAGACGGAAACGACUGAUAACACCUGAUACAGUUGCCGGCACGCAUGUGCCUGGCAAUGAAAAGAGAUGCUGCAGGAGAGCUUUGCGUCCUAUUAGCUUGUUGGUGAGGUGACGGCUCACCAAGGCGAUGAUAGGUAGCCGGCCUGAGAGGGUGAACGGCCACAAGGGGACUGAGAUACGGCCCUUACUCCUACGGGAGGCAGCAGUGGGGAAUAUUGGACAAUGGGGGCAACCCUGAUCCAGCAAUUCUGUGUGCACGAAGUAGGUUUUCGGAUUGUAAAGUGCUUUCAGCAGGGAAGAAGAAAGUGACGGUACCUGCAGAAGAAGCGGCGGCUAAAUACGUG